GAUUCUUUGUUGGAAAGUCUAUAAGCCAGCAUUUCAAUUUUUACUAUAACUCUUCGAGGAACAAAAUAUACCCCAUACUUGAUGACAAUCAGCAAUAAUCAGCAGAAGAAAAGAUAUUUGGAAAGAAAGACAGUUUACAACAGUGAACUUCUGAAUGCAAAAAAUUUCAGUGCAAAAUAGUUUUACACUAUUAAUACUAUUGCAGUCAUGUGCUACAUAAUGACAUUUCACUGACGGUCCCAUAAAGUUAUAAUAUUUUUACUGUACCUUUUCUAUGUCUAGACAUGUUUACAUAUGCAAAUACCAUUGUGUUACAACCACCUAUGGUAUCCAGUACAGUAACAUGCUAUACAGGUUUGUAACCUAGGAGCAAUACGCCAUACCAUACAGAUAUGUAGUAGCCCAUACCAUGUAGAUUUAUGUAAGUACACGCACAAUAACAAAAUCACCCAACACAUUUCUCAGAAUGUAUCCCUGUCAUUAAGCGAUGCAUGACUGUGUAUUUUAUGUCUAAUUCAAGUCAAACACAAUUUUUUAAUAUUGUAUUUGUAAUAUGAAAUGAAGACGUGGCAGGGCACAGUGGCUGAUGCCUGUAAUCCUAGAACUUUGGAAGCUGAGGCAGGCAGAUGGCUUGAGCCCAGAAGUUCAAGACCAGCCUGGGAAAUAUGGUAAGACCCUGUCUCUACAAAAAAAUUCAAAAAUUAACUGGUGCGGUGGUGUGUGCCUGUAGUCCUAGCUACUUGGGAGGCUGAGGCGGGAGGAUCACUUGAGCCUUGGAGGCAGAGGUUGCAGUGAGCCAAGAUAGCGUCACUGCACUCCAGCAUGAGCAACAGAGUGAGAUUGUCUCAAACAAAGAAAAAAGAAAUGAAGACUUGUUUACUUCAUUGAGUAAAUGAUUACUGAACACUCACUAUGUGCCAGGCAUGUUCUCAAUAUGGGGGAUUCACAGGUGAUAAAGACAAACAUAGUUUCUACUUUUCCAUUAUCAUGAAGCCCAAAUUUUUUAAAAAUUUAUUUUGCAGAUGUCAUCAAACGAAGUCUAUGUGUUAUCUUGAAUCAUUUACAUUCAAAAAUACUUAAUCCUGCAAUAAAAUGUUAAAAAGUCACAGAUGUUACAGAGUCAGGGUUGAAAAAGAGCUCAUUAGUUCCAAGAUGCACAUUAUUUUACAUUUUGACAUCUCUGAAAUCAGUCACAUCUUACAAUGUAAUCAGACUAGACGGCAAUGGAGAUGGAGUUGGCACUGCCGUGCAUCAAAACUUCAAAACUCAGAAUGAGCACUAGGGGCUUGGAAGAAAAUCCCAGGUUUGAUGGUAAAGGCACCAUUUUAAGGAAUUUUUUUUUUUUUUUUUGUGGUAGAGAUGGGAUAUCGCUAUGCUGACUGACCAGGCUGGUCUCAAACUCCUGGCCUCAAGCAAUCCUCCCAUCUGGGCCUCCCAAAGUGGUGGGAUUACAGGCGUGAAGCACCACACCCAGCCUUAAGGAUUUCUGAUGAUUCAAGAUUCAAUAAAACAUAAUAGUUCAAAGUUUUCAUUUAUUAUAGGUGAGGAAAAUGAAAUUCAGAGUGGUCACACAACUUGCCCUAGUUUACAAAGCUGGACAGGUAGAAUAGAGUCCAGGUCUGUUUUCUACAGUCAUUCACUCUUCUACCAGUGUUCAGUUAUAUGGAGGAAAAGGGUGUCAUACAAAACAAGUAGGUAAGAAGAUGGCUCUAAGUUACAAAGACGGAUUUGUAACUUAAUCCGUCCUUGCCUCAGUUUCUCCAUCUAUUAAAACAGGGAUUUAACAAACCUAACUCACAGUACUGCUGUAAGCAUUAAAUAAAAUAUGUCUAGCAAUUAUCACAAAGAUUGGCAUAUGGUAAAUACUCCAUAAAUGUCAACUACUUGAGAUCAAACUUUACAUUUAUUAUACACUAAGUCAAGCCCACAUAUAGUUGUCUAAAGCGCUUGAAAACUAAAUAAACUGGUCAAGUGUUUGAAGUGAUAAAUACAAUGAAAAUUUCCACCUUAACAAUGUUUUGUCCAGGUACUAUGCCAAGAACCCAAUAGACCUACCUGCAAGAAACCAUACAAAAAGCAAGAUUCCAGGCUGGCAUGACGAUCAAAUUAUGUACUUCAAUGCGUGUGAAUGCAUUUAUAAGCACAGUCUCAAUACAUAAAUAAGGAACAAAAUAUUUAAAAUGUAUAAACAGAUCAUUUCUCUUUGCUUUCUUUAAAAUACUAUAUCAGAAUCACCUGAGGAACUUGAUAACAAUUUUUUUAAAAACUAUUAUAACUACGUAUAUUAAGCCUUGUUAAAACCACAAGUUUUAGAGGUUUAAGCCUUACUAGGUCAGCUCUUCUGAUUUUGAGAGUUUAAGUGAAAAUUUAAAUUAUAACACAGUAUGUGGAGUAAACCUGCUUCAAAUAUUAGUUUCUACAUUAUUGUUUCUAUAAAAAUAGUAAUCUUCUGUAUUUUAAUAUCAACUCAUCACAUAUUAAAUAUUUCAGUCAAAUCAAAAUUUCAUUUGAAAUCUUCAAUCUAAAAAAUACACAGUUAAGCGCUUAAAAAGUAAUUUUAACCACUAGGAAAUGUUAAUGAUUAACUCACAUUUGUUUCUGUUUCACUCCAUGACAAAGUCUAUAGGACACCCUGCAGAGAGGAAAACUCACAUUAAUAUACCCAUAAUUUUACUUUCAGAAGCUUCUGGUAAUCAAAGACUUAUUAUGAGGUGUCUUCAUGUUACCACUGCGCAGUAGCAAACUUAAAAUAUUCUAAAGAUUCCAAUAUGUGAACUCUGCCUAUUAAUUCUAAAACUUUUAAUAAUAGUUUGCUUAUGUUUGAGACUUAAAACAAUAACAUACUGCACUACACCCAUCUUAGAUAUUUUCUAGGAUCAAAGUCUAUCUGGAGCAGGGCAAGCUGUGGUUGAGGGUGGUUGGGUCAGCAGGUAAGAGCCUUAUGACCAGCUCUAAACGCCUCCACGGUGAGGAGCACCUCGAGCUAACAGACCAAGCACCAAAGGGUGGAACAGCUCAAGGUUGCAUUUAGGAGACUCCAGCCUCGGCCGCCCGUGACUCCUCGACGAGCCCCACCUCUCUCGGUUCCAGCAUCCGGCCCGCCCCUUCCUCCCAGGCUACCACAGUAUCGCCCGCCGAGCUCCCGGGCUGCGGGAAAUGACGGAAACAAAAACUUGGUACACAAAGAAGGGCUAGGUCAGAAGUGAGGUCCCACCCUGGCAAGAAGGGCGACUUUUCUAGAAAAACUUAGCGGCAAGUUAACGGGAAGCGCGGCGACACAGUUCCUACGAUUGUGGGGGGCACUCUGCCGCCAGGCAGUCUCAUCCUUUGUCCUUUGAGAGGCCUCCUUGAAGCCGAAGGCUCUUAAGUGUCCCUGGGCAACCCUUGACUCGAUCUCCAUUACGGGCCCUCACUGACAGCAGCCAUGACAGUUGCUUCCGGAUAUAUUGAAUCGCCGCGGCCAGAGUCUCCCGGAAGUGACGCAACGCGGAGGGAUCCGCGUUCGGCAGUGGGAGACCGAAGCGAAGUGGUUCCCGGAAGCGGCUGCAGCUGGGCUGCUGGUGGCGGGGCGGGGGUAGAGUGGGGAGAGAGGUUGUGGGUCUUACAACCAACCAACCCCAACACGUUUUACGUGUUAGGCAGGCAUUGUGCUGAACACCUCAUUGGCAAGCCAUUUAAUCCCUUCCUUACAAUCCCAGCAGUCAGAAAUGUAUCAC
rnacentral:lncRNA from 10 species